CCUGCCUCAGCCUCCCGAGUAGCUAGGAUUACAGGCAUGCACACCACGCCCGGCUAAUUUUGUAUUUUUAGUAGAGAUGGGGUUUCACCAUGUUGGCCAGGCUGGUCUCAAACUCCUGACCUCAGGUGAUCCACCCGCCUCGGCCUCCCAAAGUGCUGGGAUUACAGGAGUGAGCCACUGCACCCCGCCUGUUGUGAAUAGUCUUAAGGGGAGGCGUAGUGGGAUGUAAUGGGCUGGAGUCCUAGGCCACCACUUUUUAGCCAUGUGACCUUUGAGAUGAACUAUUAAACUUCAUCCCAGAAUCUUUCUAAAUUCUCCAAAGUUAAAGAUGAGAUUUAAUAGCUCAUCUAUUAAAGAUUUCUGGGAUGGCAUUCUUAAAAUUAAGAUUAGCUUCUGUUAAGGAAUUAGAAAACACCAGAGGUAGGGAAUGGUCCCUGUCACAUAUAGACAGCAUUUGCCCUAAACCAUGCUCUGGUCAAGAGGAGGCUGAGGACUUCUGAGCCAUUUGCCUCUCAUCAGAACGUCCUGGGUGUAGUGUCAGAGAGUGGCUGUAUUGGCUUGUCUGAACAGCUAGUGUGUUGCUUUGGUUUGAGCUGAAAGAUUGUUCUAACAAAGGUGCAUGGUGACUAUGGUCAGCAUAGGCGUUAGGAGAGGAGGGGCCGUCUGUGCACACUGUCCUGGGUGUGCCCAUCCUCAGGAGCUCAGCUGUGUAGUGUGUGGCAGCCUGUCCCCCUGACUCCCGCCGGUGAGGUUCACAGAUGGUCAGAGCUCCCAGGUGCGGCUCUAAAGCUCUGGCUCUGCUGCCGUGGCCCCAGGCAACCUGGCUGGCUCAUGGGCUUCAGCUUCUCACAUGUGGAAGAGCACAGAUCAUCCUUCACCCCAGUAUCCCGGUAGCUGACCUCAGACUUUCUGAGUGUGAGUUGACUUGAGUAGCCCUGAGAUGCUGACGUCCUCUGAGUACAUCAACAACAGGGAGUUUCUGGGCUGCAGGCUGAGAACCCGUGUUUGUCACAAGGCGGCCCCACAGAGUUACCACCACUCUAAGGCCCUGCCAGAGCCAGCAACAGAUUAUUCCAGAAGGCACCUGUCUCCCAAUCACCUUCUCUAUCUGGAACAACACCUCCCUCAGGGUUGGGUAAAGUAUUAAAUAUCUGUGCCUUGCAUACACUCACUCAGUGCUCAACAAAUGCUGGUUCUUUCCCAGUUUCUGUAAUCUGUAUGACCUAUCUUGACCAAGAGAUUGUCAUCAUCCUGAGGCCCGGGGCCCAGGCUGCUGUUGCGCUGGCCUCUCUCCCUCACUCUCCAGUAAGCCCUGUCCCAGGCUGGCCUCUCCCUCCGGGGCUGUCUUAUCCACGCUUGGGCUCCAACCACCUUGACCCUUCUCCACCUGUCAGUCACGCCCCAGGUGUUCCCUGAGUCACGCAACAGCUAUAUAGUAGCUCCGCAGACCAACAGCAGGCCGACAGCGUAGCACCUGAGUUCUAGAUCUACCACUGUUCAUGCGGGACCUGGCAUAAAGCAUUCCCACGUCUCGGCCUCCAUUUCCCCAUCUGUGAAACGAGAGCACUGGUCAGCUCUUCACAUGCAGCGUUUGUGGGAUGAAUCCUUCCAUCUGUCCAUCCAUCCCGCCAACAUCCAUGCACAAACAUUUAGCACCUGCUGCAUGCUGUCAGGGACUAUGGCAGGAAAAGAGUUGAAACAGACACGUCCCAGGCCUCCAGCCCCUCACACCACGGAGAGGAAACAGAUGCCCGCAAAGGAGGAGGCACCCCUCAGGGGGCCAGCGCUGCGACACGGUGGAGGCAGGGAGGCCGUCUCUAAGCAGCCUGCGAGUCCCCGCGCUGCACCGUGGCUUUGAGGAGUGGCGGGGGCCGAGGGGCCGGUCUCUCUUCCGGGGGAGAUUCCUCCCCUCACCCCGGCAUUACUCAGCGCCCUGAACUGUCUGCCUCCCUCCAGCCGGCCCUCCUCGUCUUCCUGGAGCGCAGCACAAAGGUCCUGUUGUGGCCGCGGCCCGGGCCGCGGGCGAGCCUCUCUGGAUGGUGGUGACUCAGUCUCUUGCCAUUUCCUUUGUGCGGCUCCGGGGCUCCUCGCUGGGAGCGGAGUGUGUCUGCAGGGCUGGGGGCGGGAGCCGGGACCCACAGCCCGACAGCGAGCCUUUCAUGUGGGCAGGGGGCUUCCCGCACGCAAUGCGAACCUACGCCUGGAGCUUCCCAAAGACAGCGUCCGGCGCAGGAACGCGAGAUGCUGGCCGCCUCGCCUCUGGCCCCCGCGAGCAUCAAAGCGCGUGCCGUCGAGGGGGCACGUGUCCCCCAUCGGGCGCGCCUCUGCUCCUAGUCCCCUGAAUGAACACAUCCUUAUGAAAAGUGGAAAUUAGCCGCCGAAGGGAAGGGCCCGGAGAGCUUGGGAAGCGACCUAGGCUGCCAGCCUCCCGGCGGGUCUUUGGUCCCAGCUCUGAUGACCUGUCAGCAGCCGCAGGACCUGCGCUUAAAGGCGCCUCUCCAGGCCUGGCUCAGGGUGGGGCUCCUCGUGCUCAGCACCCUGGUCAAGGUUAGGGCUGGGUGUGCGCUGGAGGCUUGGAGUGCCAGGGCACCCAGUGAAGAGCGAAUGAAUGAACGAGUGAACACCGGACUGGGGGCCUGCAGACGGUUCUUCGCAGGUUAAUUAGAAGGCCUCUAGCAAGCUGCAGCGGAGGCAUUUCAGGCAUCCUUCAGAGAGGACCCUCGGCCUGGCUCCUAAGGGCCCCUGGUCUGGCUCUCACCCCCUGCUCUGGUGGCAUUUCUGCUCACUCAGCCUUUACCCUUUACACGCCAGCCGCUCUGAACAGUUUAUUCUUCUGGGAGCACAUCAUGUUCUUGCUCACAUCCAGGUUUUGCGUAAGCUGUUCCUGCUGCAAGGAAAACCCUUCCUGUGUCCUCCUCAGGCAACUCCUGUGCAUCUGUAGGUACCAUUGUGAGGUUACUGCCCUGGACUGGGGAGAGAUCCACACACGCAAGAGUGCAUCUGGCAUCAGUAUCUCUCUUCCUGUCAACCCUGGCAUUGCCUUUGUUGGCUACUGAGAGAAGACCAGAAAUAUCCAUCUAGUCAGACUUGCCUGCUCCUGGGAAGAAAACAAAAAUGCAAAGAAAAGGUUCUCAGGGAGAUUGAGCCAACCUGGGAGUGGCCCUCAGCUCCUCCAGUCCCCAGAGACCCAUGCUCUGCAGCAUCCAAGGGGCUCCUGUGAAACUGUUGGGAGGCCAAUGACACUCUGUCCCACGUUGUGGAUCUAUUUUGUGGUCUCUGUAUCCUUCACUGCUUUUUGUGGACAUUAUUGUAUUAGAUUCCUUUGGAAAUGAUGAUCCAGCUAAUGGCCAGUUAGUAGGAAACAUCACGACCCUCCCCCCAAAUUCCAGCCUCUUGCUGAAAGGGUGGGGCCUGGGAAAUCAUAUGGUAUUGCUCCUGGUCACCACAGACCAGUGGUGGCUUUGGGCCAAAUUCUGGCCCAGCCAAUCCCCCCCACCUUUUUUUUUUUUUGAGAGAGAGAAUUUGAGGUAAGAGACACAGAGACUCAGGUUAGGAGGAUGCUUGAACUGAAAGGUCCUGAGACAGCAGGACAGGAGCUAGUACCAUGCAGAACACAGCAGGAGCCACAGGCAAGCCUGAACUGUGGGAGAGAGAAAACGAAGGGCCUUCCAGAGAGGUCCAGUCUGCCAAGAGGAGAAGAGAGUUGACACGCAGAAAGAGUUAGGGGUGACAAGAACCCCCGUAGCCCCUUGAAGGACACAGAGAGGAGAUCUUUUUUGUUCUUUUGUGAUUCAUCCUUUCUCACUUCCUGUCCUUGGAGGUCAACAACAGACCCCUGUAUCCUUUUAAUAAUCCCUCUUUUCAUUUGAAAUUGUUCCAGAGGGUACCUGAUCCUUGUUGCCAGCAUGCCCUGAAUAAGAAAAAUGCUCAAACCAAACACUGAGUCUACUGAGUCUAUGUGAAUUAAUUCUUGGAAUUCCUUGGCUCAAUUCAAUAAACAUUUCAUGCACAAUUUUUGUGUGCCAGGUGCUAGAGGCAUUCUGAGAAAAACUGAGACCCAGGAGCUGUCCUCAGAGAGUCCAGUAAGAUGUGGUCUGAUAAGACAUGUUUCCAUAUACCCAGAAUACAAGGUAGUUUGCUAGGAGCACUGCAAGAGAAACGCAGAUGGAAGGCUGGAGUGUGUACUGCCACUGUGGAAGCAGGAGGGGCUUGAGGGAAGAGGGCCUUCAAGAAUGGGUGGAAUCUAAUAUUGGAAAGGGGAGGAAGAGUGGAAAGUAUAAGAAUCAGAAGUCUGGUUGCAGGAUGGGGCAUGAUAUGGGUGGGACACUGUAAACUGCACAGCGUGGAAGGAAUAUGGAGUUUAGAGGAAUAAUGUUAGAUGAGUCUGUAAGACGGGCUUGACUGGGAUUAUGAAGGGCCUUAAAGGUCAAGCCAAAUUUGUUAUCAUAGAAUCAUAAGAAGGAGAAGAGCCUUAGCUGUUGUCUAGUCUAACUUAGGUAAUUUGGUUCCAGUUCCUCUUAAGGUGGCCACCAUGACAGACUGAAUCUCAAGUACUCAUCUGAGAUACAGUCAUUUCAAUGGUAGUGACUCAGAAUUUACUUUUCUUUUUUUUUACCCCAGCAAAAUAUUUAUUUUAGAAAAUAGGAUUAUAUUAUUUGUUGCUCUCCAACUUGCUUUUUUUGGACAUCUUGGACAUCUUUCUCUACCAGUACAUAUAGUUCCAUUUCCUUCUUUUUAUUUUAUUUACUUUAUUAUUUUUGUAGAGAUGAGGUCUUGCCAUGUUGCCUAGGCUGGUCUGGAACUCCUGGGCUCAAGAGAUCCACUCACCUUGGCCUCCCAAAGUGCUAGGAUUACAGGCGUGAGCCACUGCAGAUAUUUUUAUUUUUUAUUUUCAUUUAUUUCAAUAGUUUUUGGGGAGCACGUGGUUAUUUGAUUACAUGGAUAAGUUCUUUAGUGGUGAUUACCGAGAUUUUGGUGCACCCAUCACCCAAGCAGUGUACACUGUACCCAAUGAGUAGUCUUUUAUCCCUCGUCCUCCUUCCCCGCUCCCCUCACGUCCCCAAAGUACAUUGUAUCUUAUGCCUUUGCAUCCUCAUGAGAUUACUUUUCUAUCUUUAACAACUUAAGAGUUCUUUCCAGAAGAGUCCUCUUACUACGAGGAAGAGUGUUAGAGCACAGGGAACUGGGCCUAGAGAGUCUGCAGCAAAUUGUCUCAAAUAGCAGCUUAAAAAGGUAAGGAACAGAAAAGAAACACUCUCUAUCUAUGUGCUGGCCUCAGGCACAGUGCUUCUAGAUGGUAGAACAUCUGUGAAGUAGAAAUUACAAUCACUUUUCAGGUGAGAAAACAGGAGCUGUAGGGAGGAGUCGGACAGGUCCCCAGGCCCAGCAACUAUACCAGGUGAGGCAGGAAUGUGGCCUCGUGUUGACCAGAUUCCACAGCCACGGGCUUCCAUCCCUCUUCUCUGCUUGCUUUAAGACUAACCACCCUGGCUUCAAGUAAGUAUCACUCACAAAGGAAUUUCAAAAAGACAUGCACAUAAAUUAAUGGCUGAUGGCUGUAGGUGGUCGUAUGGGAGGAACCGAUUAUAACAUUGUAUGAACUUAGCAAAGCUCUAAACCAUAGCACAGACAUUUGGCAAAAUGGUUACUCUUUUUCAAUCAUCCAAGGACUCAGUUUAUAAUAAGCCUUGAGCGAGUCCCUAAAUUCCAAAGCCCUUAGCAUCUUCCAGGACCCUCUUGAGACCACACAGUGCUUCCAGCUUCCGGAAACAGCAGAUGCUAUUGCUUCCAUGAGCAAUGUCAGCAUUUAAUACACAAGGGGGAACAGAGAAAGAAACCUAUAUGGAUGGGGAGCAGGGAGGAGGGGCAGCACUGGAUCCUCUCCUGGGCCCUGUCCAGCUCGACAUUCCUGAACAGAGCGUGCUGUUCCCUCUCCUGAUGUUGGCAGCUUAGAAUGCAGGAGCCUUAGAUGGGUGGCCUGGAAGGGAGGCCAGCAGGGAGAGGUGACCUGGAAGUGAGGAAGCUCAGGAGGGACUGAUGGUAAUUGGAGGGGCAGGCAGAGAGAGGCAGAUGAAGAAACAGCCGAGGCCUGUGUGAAGGCUGGACCCAACCUGCGUCCAAGCAGAAAGUCCAGAGAACUUAGCACAGCUUCCAAAGCUUCAGAGUACAUCAGAACUACUUGGGAAGUGCGUCAAACUCUGGUUCCUAGGGAAAUCCUCAGAGAUCCUGCAUCUGCGAUGAGGCCCAGAAGUGGUUUUUGUGACCAGUUCCAAGGCGACUUCAUACAGGCAGUCCUUGGGGACACUGGUGACAGGAUUUCCCUCUCUGGACCUUGGUGUCCUGCUCUGUAAAUAAAGGGGUUUGUCAAAGACGGUUUCUGCUUUCUCUGUCAGCUCCAACAUACAGCUUCUCAAAAGCUUCCAAAAAUCCCCUUACCCAAGCUUGCAGCCCUCAUCACCUGUCUCAAG
rnacentral:lncRNA from 1 species